UACGGGGGGAGCAAGCGUUGUUCGGAAUUACUGGGCGUAAAGGGCGCGUAGGCGGCUUGGUCAGUCCCGUGUGAAAUCCCUCGGCUCAACUGAGGAACUGCACGGGAAACUGCCUGGCUAGAGUCCGGAAGAGGAGAGUGGAAUUCCUGGUGUAGCGGUGAAAUGCGCAGAUAUCAGGAGGAACACCAAUGGCGAAGGCAGCUCGCUGGGACGGUACUGACGCUGAGGCGCGAAAGCGUGGGGAGCAAACAGG
rnacentral:rRNA from 1 species